rnacentral:rRNA from 1 species
AUUGAACGCUGGCGGCAUGCCUUACACGUGCAAGUCGAACGGUAACAGGUCUUCGGAUGCUGACGAGUGGCGAACGGGUGAGUAAUACAUCGGAACGUGCCCGAUCGUGGGGGAUAACGAAGCGAAAGCUUUGCUAAUACCGCAUACGAUCUACGGCUGAAAGCAGGGGACCGCAAGGCCUUGCGCGAACGGAGCGGCCGAUGGCAGAUUAGGUAGUUGGUGGGAUAAAAGCUUACCAAGCCGACGAUCUGUAGCUGGUCUGAGAGGACGACCAGCCACACUGGGACUGAGACACGGCCCAGACUCCUACGGGAGGCAGCAGUGGGGAAUUUUGGACAAUGGGCGAAAGCCUGAUCCAGCCAUGCCGCGUGCAGGAUGAAGGCCUUCGGGUUGUAAACUGCUUUUGUACGGAACGAAAAGACUCUGGUUAAUACCUGGGGUCCAUGACGGUACCGUAAGAAUAAGCACCGGCUAACUACGUGCCAGCCGCCGCAGUAA